UACGGGGGGGGCAAGCGUUGUUCGGAAUUACUGGGCGUAAAGGGCCAGUAGGCGGCCAACUAAGUCCGACGUGAAAUCCCAAGGCUUAACCUUGGAACUGCGUCGGAUACUGGAUGGCUUGAAUUCGGGAGAGGGAUGCAGAAUUCCAGGUGUAGCGGUGAAAUGCGUAGAUAUCUGGAGGAAUACCGGUGGCGAAGGCGGCAUCCUGGACCGGCAUUGACGCUGAUGAGCGAAAAGCUAGGGGAGCAACGGGG
rnacentral:rRNA from 1 species